rnacentral:rRNA from 1 species
UGGGGAAUAUUGGACAAUGGGGGCAACCCUGAUCCAGCAAUGCCGCGUGAGUGAUGAAGGCCUUAGGGUUGUAAAGCUCUUUUACCGGGGACGAUGAUGACGGUACCCGGAGAAUAAGCCCUGGCUAACUUCGUGCCAGCAGCCGCGGUAAUACGAAGGGGGCGAGCGUUGUUCGGAGUUACUGGGCGUAAAGGGCGCGUAGGCGGCGCUCCAAGUUAGGCGUGAAAGCCCCGGGCUCAACCUGGGAAUAGCGCUUAAGACUGGGGUGCUCGAGUGCGGGAGAGGUGAGUGGAAUUCCCAGUGUAGAGGUGAAAUUCGUAGAUAUUGGGAAGAACACCAGUGGCGAAGGCGGCUCACUGGCCCGCAACUGACGCUGAGGCGCGAAAGCGUGGGGAGCAAACAG